rnacentral:rRNA from 1 species
GUGCAGCAGUCGCGAAAACUCCGCAAUACGCGAAAGCGUGACGGGGCUACCCCGAGUGUCGUCCGCUGAGGACGACUUUUCCACGCUGUAAGGAGGCGUGGGAAUAAGGAGAGGGCAAGUCUGGUGUCAGCCGCCGCGGUAAUACCAGCUCUCCGAGUGGUAGGGACGAUUAUUGGGCUUAAAGCGUCCGUAGCCGGCUCAGCAAGUCUCCCGUUAAAUCCAACGAUUCAAUCGUUGGAUUGCGAGGGAUACUGUUCGGCUAGGGGGUGAGAGAGGCCAACGGUAUUCCCGGGGUAGGGGUGAAAUCCUAUAAUCCCGGGAGGACCACCAGUGGCGAAGGCUGUUGGCUAGAACACGCCCGACGGUGAGGGAUGAAAGCUGGGGGAGCGAACCGGAUUAGAUACCCGGGUAGUCC